rnacentral:rRNA from 1 species
UACGUAGGGUGCAAGCGUUGUCCGGAAUUAUUGGGCGUAAAGAGCUCGUAGGUGGCCUGUCGCGUCGGCUGUGAAAACUCGGGGCUCAACUCCGAGCUUGCAGUCGAUACGGGCAGGCUAGAGUUCGGCAGGGGAGACUGGAAUUCCUGGUGUAGCGGUGAAAUGCGCAGAUAUCAGGAGGAACACCGGUGGCGAAGGCGGGUCUCUGGGCCGAUACUGACACUGAGGAGCGAAAGCGUGGGGAGCGAACAGGA